rnacentral:rRNA from 1 species
UGUGGAUCAGUGGCGAACGGGUGAGUAACACGUGAGCAAUCUGCCCCUGACUCUGGGAUAAGCGCUGGAAACGGCGUCUAAUACCGGAUACGAGCUGCGAUCGCAUGGUCAGUAGCUGGAAAGAAUUUCGGUCAGGGAUGAGCUCGCGGCCUAUCAGCUUGUUGGUGAGGUAAUGGCUCACCAAGGCGUCGACGGGUAGCCGGCCUGAGAGGGUGACCGGCCACACUGGGACUGAGACACGGCCCAGACUCCUACGGGAGGCAGCAGUGGGGAAUAUUGCACAAUGGGCGGAAGCCUGAUGCAGCAACGCCGCGUGAGGGAUGACGGCCUUCGGGUUGUAAACCUCUUUUAGCAGGGAAGAAGCGAAAGUGACGGUACCUGCAGAAAAAGCGCCGGCUAACUACGUGCCAGCAGCCGCGGUAAUACGUAGGGCGCAAGCGUUAUCCGGAAUUAUUGGGCGUAAAGAGCUCGUAGGCGGUCUGUCGCGUCUGCUGUGAAAACCCGAGGCUCAACCUCGGGCCUGCAGUGGGUACGGGCAGACUAGAGUGCGGUAGGGGAGAUUGGAAUUCCUGGUGUAGCGGUGGAAUGCGCAGAUAUCAGGAGGAACACCGAUGGCGAAGGCAGAUCUCUGGGCCGUAACUGACGCUGAGGAGCGAAAGGGUGGGGAGCAAACAGGCUUAGAUACCCUGGUAGUCCACCCCGUAAACGUUGGGAACUAGUUGUGGGGUCCAUUCCACGGAUUCCGUGACGCAGCUAACGCAUUAAGUUCCCCGCCUGGGGAGUACGGCCGCAAGGCUAAAACUCAAAGGAAUUGACGGGGACCCGCACAAGCGGCGGAGCAUGCGGAUUAAUUCGAUGCAACGCGAAGAACCUUACCAAGGCUUGACAUAUAGAGGAA